rnacentral:misc_RNA from 1 species
UGAAGAUCCACUUUGUAAUGACGUUGGGCCAAAACUCUCAGCCGAACAUUUACACUUGCAGUUGGUCUCUAUACAAUGAGCAUAAUCACGAAGUUCAAUUCUCUCACCAUUCCUUUCUUCUGGAACUGCAGGUCCCACGAGUUCAAUAUAGAUUUGAACAUCAGGAAAAACUGCAUGCAGUUCACUGAACACUGCAAGUUGAUGAAGCUCUUUUUCAGGACCUAAAUAAUGUAUGUGUAGCUCGUUACUAAUUUCAGGAAUCAGGUUCCCUUGAACUGCCAGCUUAAUAGCCCAAUACAGCGUCAGCGACCAGUGAAGUAGCAAAGCAACAGGAGAAUCAAGCGGAAUGCACCUCCAUUCAUAAUAUUCUUUCCAACCACUAAGUAACUUGGGUAACGGAGUGGAUGGCUCUCUACAAGGACACAGUGUAAUAGAUAGGUUCCAG